rnacentral:lncRNA from 1 species
AUGAGUCCAGUCCGUCAGUCCAGAGCGUCAGUCAGUCAGUCCAGAGCGUCAGUCAGUCAGUCCAGAGCGUCAGUUCAGAGCGUCAGUUCAGAGCGUCAGUCCAGAGCGUCAGUCCAGAGCGUCAGUUCAGAGCGUCAGUCCAGAGCGUCAGUCCAGAGCGUCAGUCCAGAGCGUCAGUCCGUCAGUCCAGAGCGUCAGUCCAGAGCGUCAGUCAGUCAGUCCAGAGCGUCAGUCCGUCAGUCCAGAGCGUCAGUCCAGAGCGUCAGUCCAGAGCGUCAGUCCACAGCGUCAGUCCAGAGCGUCAGUCCAGAGCGUCAGUCCAGAGCGUCAGUCCGUCAGUCCAGAGCGUCAGUCCAGAGCGUCAGUCCGUCAGUCCAGAGCGUCAGUCCGUCAGUCCAGAGCGUCAGUCCAGAGCGUCAGUCCGUCAGUCCAGAGCGUCAGUCCACAGCGUCAGUUCAGAGCGUCAGUCCACAGCGUCAGUCCAGAGCGUCAGUCCAGAGCGUCAGUCCAGAGCGUCAGUCCGUCAGUCCAGAGCGUCAGUCCAGAGCGUCAGUCCGUCAGUCCAGAGCGUCAGUCCGUCAGUCCAGAGCGUCAGUCCAGAGCGUCAGUCCGUCAGUCCAGAGCGUCAGUCCGUCAGUCCAGAGCGUCAGUCCAGAGCGUCAGUCCAGAGCGUCAGUCCGUCAGUCCAGAGCGUCAGUCCAGAGCGUCAGUCCGUCAGUCCAGAGCGUCAGUCCAGAGCGUCAGUCCAGAGCGUCAGUCAGUCAGUCCAGAGCGUCAGUCCAGAGCGUCAGUCAGUCAGUCCAGAGCGUCAGUCAGUCAGUCCAGAGCGUCAGUCAGUCAGUCCAGAGCGUCAGUCCGUCAGUCCAGAGCGUCAGUCCGUCAGUCCAGAGCGUCAGUCCAGAGCGUCAGUCCAGAGCGUCAGUCAGUCAGUCCAGAGCGUCAGUCCAGAGCGUCAGUCAGUCAGUCCAGAGCGUCAGUCCGUCAGUCCAGAGCGUCAGUCCGUCAGUCCAGAGCGUCAGUCCGUCAGUCCAGAGCGUCAGUCCAGAGCGUCAGUCCAGAGCGUCAGUCCGUCAGUCCAGAGCGUCAGUCCAGAGCGUCAGUCAGUCAGUCCAGAGCGUCAGUCCAGAGCGUCAGUCCGUCAGUCCAGAGCGUCAGUCCAGAGCGUCAGUCCGUCAGUCCAGAGCGUCAGUCCAGAGCGUCUGUCCAGAGCGUCAGUCCGUCAGUCCAGAGCGUCAGUCCAGAGCGUCAGUCCAGAGCGUCAGUCCGUCAGUCCAGAGCGUCAGUCCAGUCCGUCAGUCCAGUCCGUCAGUCCAGAGCGUCAGUCCGUCAGUCCAGAGCGUCAGUCCAGAGCGUCAGUCCGUCAGUCCAGAGCGUCAGUCCAGAGCGUCAGUCCGUCAGUCCAUCAGUCCAGAGUAUCAGUCCCCCCCCCUCCCUCCUAGACCCCUCAGCUCAACCCUUUGUAUCUAG